AUUGAACGCUGGCGGCAUGCCUUACACACGCAAGUCGAACGGCAGCACGGAGCUUGCUCUGGUGGCGAGUGGCGAACGGGUGAGUAAUAUAUCGGAACGUACCCUAGAGUGGGGGAUAACGUAGCGAAAGUUACGCUAAUACCGCAUACGAUCUAAGGAUGAAAGUGGGGGAUCGCAAGACCUCAUGCUCGUGGAGCGGCCGAUAUCUGAUUAGCUAGUUGGUAGGGUAAAAGCCUACCAAGGCAUCGAUCAGUAGCUGGUCUGAGAGGACGACCAGCCACACUGGAACUGAGACACGGUCCAGACUCCUACGGGAGGCAGCAGUGGGGAAUUUUGGACAAUGGGCGAAAGCCUGAUCCAGCAAUGCCGCGUGAGUGAAGAAGGCCUUCGGGUUGUAAAGCUCUUUUGUCAGGGAAGAAACGGUGGGAGCUAAUAUCUCUUGCUAAUGACGGUACCUGAAGAAUAAGCACCGGCUAACUACGUGCCAGCAGCCGCGGUAAUACGUAGGGUGCAAGCGUUAAUCGGAAUUACUGGGCGUAAAGCGUGCGCAGGCGGUUUUGUAAGUCUGAUGUGAAAUCCCCGGGCUCAACCUGGGAAUUGCAUUGGAGACUGCAAGGCUAGAGUCUGGCAGAGGGGGGUAGAAUUCCACGUGUAGCAGUGAAAUGCGUAGAUAUGUGGAGGAACACCGAUGGCGAAGGCAGCCCCCUGGGUCAAGAUUGACGCUCAUGCACGAAAGCGUGGGGAGCAAACAGGAUUAGAUACCCUGGUAGUCCACGCCCUAAACGAUGUCUACUAGUUGUCGGGUCUUAAUUGACUUGGUAACGCAGCUAACGCGUGAAGUAGACCGCCUGGGGAGUACGGUCGCAAGAUUAAAACUCAAAGGAAUUGACGGGGACCCGCACAAGCGGUGGAUGAUGUGGAUUAAUUCGAUGCAACGCGAAAAACCUUACCUACCCUUGACAUGGCUGGAAUCCUUGAGAGAUCAGGGAGUGCUCGAAAGAGAACCAGUACACAGGUGCUGCAUGGCUGUCGUCAGCUCGUGUCGUGAGAUGUUGGGUUAAGCCCCGCAACGAGCGCAACCCUUGUCAUUAGUUGCUACGAAAGGGCACUCUAAUGAGACUGCCGGUGGCAAACCGGAGGAAGGUGGGGAUGACGUCAAGUCCUCAUGGCCCUUAUGGGUAGGGCUUCACACGUCAUACAAUGGUACAUACAGAGCGCCGCCAACCCGCGAGGGGGAGCUAAUCGCAGAAAGUGUAUCGUAGUCCGGAUUGUAGUCUGCAACUCGACUGCAUGAAGUUGGAAUCGCUAGUAAUCGCGGAUCAGCAUGUCGCGGUGAAUACGUUCCCGGGUCU
rnacentral:rRNA from 1 species